UACGUAGGGACCAAGCGUUGUUCGGAUUUACUGGGCGUAAAGGGCGCGUAGGCGGCUUGACAAGUCACUUGUGAAAUCUCCGGGCUUAACUCGGAACGGCCAAGUGAAACUGUCAUGCUAGAGUGCAGAAGGGGCAAUCGGAAUUCUUGAUGUAGCGGUGAAAUGCGUAGAUAUCAAGAGGAACACCUGAGGUGAAGACGGGUUGCUGGGCUGACACUGACGCUGAGGCGCGAAAGCCAGGGGAGCAAACGGG
rnacentral:rRNA from 1 species